rnacentral:rRNA from 1 species
UGAAUACGAGACGCUAAGGCGUCGAAGUAGUGUAUGUCAUACUUCCAAGAAAAGCUUGCACUGUCAUAGAUAAAAAACGCCUGUACCAUAACCGACACAGGUGGGUAGGUAGAGUAUACUAAGGGGCGCGAGAUAACUCUCUCUAAGGAACUCGGCAAAAUAACUCCGUAACUUCGGGAGAAGGAGUGCCUUAUUAUUAAGGCUGCAAUAACAAGAUCCAAGCAACUGUUUAUCAAAAACACAGGUCUCCGCUAAGUCGUAAGACGAUGUAUGGGGGCUGACGCCUGCCCAGUGCCAGAAGGUUAAAGAAGUUGGUUAGCAUUUGCGAAGCUGAUAACUGAAGCCCUGGUGAACGGCGGCCGUAACAAUAACGGUCCUAAGGUAGCGAAAUUCCUUGUCGGGUAAGUUCCGACCCGCACGAAAGGCGUAAUGAUUUGGAUACUGUCUCGGAGAGGGGCUCGGUGAAAUAGACUUGUCUGUGAAGAUGCGGACUACCUGCACCAGGACAGAAAGACCCUAUGAAGCUUUACUGUAACUUGAAAUUGAAAUUGGACUUUAUUCGCGCAGCAUAGGUGGGAGGCGUUGAUUAUAAUCUUGUGGGAUUAUUGGAGCCAUCAGUGAGAUACCACUCUUGUAAUGUUAGAUUUCUAACUUUGAAUCAUUAUCUGGUCAAAGAACAGUUUCAGGCGGGCAGUUUGACUGGGGCGGUCGCCUCCUAAACGGUAACGGAGGCGUACAAAGGUUUCCUCUGAACGGUUAGAAAUCGUAUCUAGAGUGUAAAGGCAUAAGGAAGCUUGACUGUGAGACCUACAAGUCGAGCAGGGACGAAAGUCGGUCUUAGUGAUCUGACGGUACUGAGUGGAAAGGCCGUCACUCAACGGAUAAAAGUUACUCUAGGAUAACAGGCUGAUCUCCCCCAAGAGUUCACAUCGACGGGGAGGUUUGGCACCUCGAUGUCGGCUCAUCGCGUCCUGGGGCGGUAGUACGUCCCAAGGGUUGGGCUGUUCGCCCAUGAAAGCGGUACGCGAGCUGGGUUCAGAACGUCGUGAGACAGUUCGGUCCAUAUCCGGUGUAGGCGUUAGAAUAUUGAGAAGAGCCUUCUUUAGUACGAGAGGACCGAGAAGGACAUACCUCUGGUGUACCAGUUAUCGUGCCAACGGUAAACGCUGGGUAGCUAUGUAUGGAGUGGAUAACCGCUGAAAGCAUCUAAGUGGGAAGCCCACCUCAAGAUAAGUAUUCUCAGC